rnacentral:rRNA from 1 species
GGUUGAUCCUGCCAGUAGUCAUAUGCUUGUCUCAAAGAUUAAGCCAUGCAUGUCUAAGUGUAAACAAAUUUAUACUGUGAAACUGCGAAUGGCUCAUUAAAUCAGUUAUAGUUUAUUUGAUAGUAACUUACUACUUGGAUAACCGUGGUAAUUCUGCAGCUAAUACAUGCGUUAAACCCCGACUUCUGGAAGGGGCGUACUUAUUAGAUUUAAGCCAACCUGGGAAACCAGUUUAUGGUUGAUUCAUGAUAAUUUUUCGAAUCGUAUGGCCUUGUGCCGACGAUGGUUCAUU